GGGGUUGUGGCUUAAUGGUAGAGCACUUGCCUUGCACACAUGAGGCACUGGAUUUGAUCUUCAGCACCA
rnacentral:tRNA from 1 species